rnacentral:rRNA from 1 species
AACGCUAGCUACAGGCUUAACACAUGCAAGUCGAGGGGCAGCAUGAUUGAAGCUUGCUUCAAUUGAUGGCGACCGGCGCACGGGUGAGUAACACGUAUCCAACCUUCCGUACACUCAGGGAUAGCCUUUCGAAAGAAAGAUUAAUACCUGAUGGUAUCUUAAGCACACAUGUAAUUAAGAUUAAAGAUUUAUCGGUGUACGAUGGGGAUGCGUUCCAUUAGGUAGUAGGCGGGGUAACGGCCCACCUAGCCUACGAUGGAUAGGGGUUCUGAGAGGAAGGUCCCCCACAUUGGAACUGAGACACGGUCCAAACUCCUACGGGAGGCAGCAGUGAGGAAUAUUGGUCAAUGGACGAGAGUCUGAACCAGCCAAGUAGCGUGAAGGAUGAAGGUCCUACGGAUUGUAAACUUCUUUUAUAAGGGAAUAAAACCUCCCACGUGUGGGAGCUUGUAUGUACCUUAUGAAUAAGCAUCGGCUAACUCCGUGCCAGCAGCCGCGGUAAUACGGAGGAUGCGAGCGUUAUCCGGAUUUAUUGGGUUUAAAGGGAGCGCAGACGGGUCAUUAAGUCAGCUGUGAAAGUUUGGGGCUCAACCUUAAAAUUGCAGUUGAUACUGGCGUCCUUGAGUGCGGUUGAGGUGUGCGGAAUUCGUGGUGUAGCGGUGAAAUGCUUAGAUAUCACGAAGAACUCCGAUUG